rnacentral:rRNA from 1 species
UCAGGAUGAACGCUAGCUACAGGCUAACACAUGCAAGUCGAGGGGCAGCAGGACGAUAGCUUGCUAUUGUUGCUGGCGACCGGCGCACGGGUGAGUAACGCGUAUCCAACCUUCCCCUUAGUAGGGCAUAGCCCGGUGAAAAUCGGAUUAAUACCCUAUGUUGUGUCAUGAGGACAUCUGAAUAACACUAAAGAUUUAUCGCUAAGGGAUGGGGAUGCGUCCGAUUAGGUAGUCGGCGGGGUAACGGCCCACCGAGCCCUCGAUCGGUAGGGGUUCUGAGAGGAAGGUCCCCCCACACUGGUACUGAGACACGGACCAGACUCCUACGGGAGGCAGCAGUGAGGAAUAUUGGUCAAUGGGCGUAAGCCUGAACCAGCCAAGUAGCCGUGCAGGAUGACGGCCCUAUGGGUUGUAAACUGCUUUUAUACGGGGAUAAAGUGAGGGACGUGUCCCUUAUUGUAGGUACCGUAUGAAUAAGGACCGGCUAAUUCCGUGCCAGCAGCGGC